UACGGAGGGUGCGAGCGUUGUCCGGAAUUACUGGGCGUAAAGAGCUCGUAGGUGGUUUGUCGCGUUGUUCGUGAAAUCUCACGGCUUAACUGUGAGCGUGCGAGCGAUACGGGCAGACUGGAGUACUGCAGGGGAGACUGGAAUUCCUGGUGUAGCGGUGGAAUGCGCAGAUAUCAGGAGGAACACCGGUGGCGAAGGCGGGUCUCUGGGCAGUAACUGACGCUGAGGAGCGAAAGCGUGGGGAGCGAACAGG
rnacentral:rRNA from 1 species